GAGUUUGAUCAUGGCUCAGAUUGAACGCUGGCGGCAGGCCUAACACAUGCAAGUCGAGCGGUAGCACAGAGAGCUUGCUCUCGGGUGACGAGCGGCGGACGGGUGAGUAAUGUCUGGGAAACUGCCUGAUGGAGGGGGAUAACUACUGGAAACGGUAGCUAAUACCGCAUAAUGUCGCAAGACCAAAGAGGGGGACCUUCGGGCCUCUUGCCAUCAGAUGUGCCCAGAUGGGAUUAGCUAGUAGGUGGGGUAACGGCUCACCUAGGCGACGAUCCCUAGCUGGUCUGAGAGGAUGACCAGCCACACUGGAACUGAGACACGGUCCAGACUCCUACGGGAGGCAGCAGUGGGGAAUAUUGCACAAUGGGCGCAAGCCUGAUGCAGCCAUGCCGCGUGUAUGAAGAAGGCCUUCGGGUUGUAAAGUACUUUCAGCGGGGAGGAAGGCGAUAAGGUUAAUAACCUUGUCGAUUGACGUUACCCGCAGAAGAAGCACCGGCUAACUCCGUGCCAGCAGCCGCGGUAAUACGGAGGGUGCAAGCGUUAAUCGGAAUUACUGGGCGUAAAGCGCACGCAGGCGGUCUGUCAAGUCGGAUGUGAAAUCCCCGGGCUCAACCUGGGAACUGCAUUCGAAACUGGCAGGCUAGAGUCUUGUAGAGGGGGGUAGAAUUCCAGGUGUAGCGGUGAAAUGCGUAGAGAUCUGGAGGAAUACCGGUGGCGAAGGCGGCCCCCUGGACAAAGACUGACGCUCAGGUGCGAAAGCGUGGGGAGCAAACAGGAUUAGAUACCCUGGUAGUCCACGCCGUAAACGAUGUCGACUUGGAGGUUGUGCCCUUGAGGCGUGGCUUCCGGAGCUAACGCGUUAAGUCGACCGCCUGGGGAGUACGGCCGCAAGGUUAAAACUCAAGUGAAUUGACGGGGGCCCGCACAAGCGGUGGAGCAUGUGGUUUAAUUCGAUGCAACGCGAAGAACCUUACCUACUCUUGACAUCCAGAGAACUUUCCAGAGAUGGAUUGGUGCCUUCGGGAACUCUGAGACAGGUGCUGCAUGGCUGUCGUCAGCUCGUGUUGUGAAAUGUUGGGUUAAGUCCCGCAACGAGCGCAACCCUUAUCCUUUGUUGCCAGCGGUUAGGCCGGGAACUCAAAGGAGACUGCCAGUGAUAAACUGGAGGAAGGUGGGGAUGACGUCAAGUCAUCAUGGCCCUUACGAGUAGGGCUACACACGUGCUACAAUGGCGCAUACAAAGAGAAGCGACCUCGCGAGAGCAAGCGGACCUCAUAAAGUGCGUCGUAGUCCGGAUUGGAGUCUGCAACUCGACUCCAUGAAGUCGGAAUCGCUAGUAAUCGUAGAUCAGAAUGCUACGGUGAAUACGU
rnacentral:rRNA from 1 species